rnacentral:rRNA from 1 species
UACGGGGGAUGCAAGCGUUAUCCGGAUUUAUUGGGUUUAAAGGGUGCGCAGGCUGAUCGGUAAGUCAUGGGUGAAAAGUCACUGCUUAACAGUGAUCGUGCCUAUGAUACUGCCGGACUAGAGUUUAAGAGGUGUAACUGGAAUGUGAUGUGUAGCGGUGAAAUGCUUAGAUAUGUCACAGAACGCCAAUCGUGAAGACAGGUUACAAACUUAAUACUGACGCUCAUGCACGAAAGCGUGGGGAUCAAACAGG